AGCCUACUUAAUGUGCCAAGAUCUGCGUGGACUAAGUCAAGCAGCCCAUCUGAUGAAAUCGACCCGUUUCCGACACUCUCUUCUGAACAGUGACAUCAGGUGGUGUCUCUGAGGUGAAGGCUGGUCUAAGUGCCGCUCCUACCUGGCAAGAAAUUACAGGCUCAUUCAAGCAUCAAAAAUAUAUCUUCCCGUUUUUAGCUAAGUGCAUCCAAGUUUUCCUUUGGGGAAAUUUCUCUCCACAACUCUCAGCCCCUGUUGUUGCUAUGGAGUUGUGAGUACUGUCUGGCUCCAGGAACCCACACUGGGAUAAUGAAAGCUCUCCUGAAGACAUUUGCUAGGAGUACUAGAAAAGAAGCGCUCUCUUUAAAAGACUCUGGAUGCUAAGAGAGCCAUCUCUUACCACUAAGAGAGCCAUCUUGAUACCAUCUUGAUACCACUUGGAAAGGGCAAACUUGAGAAUAAAGCCAGUGCAGAAGAAAGCAGAGCCAACUAAGGUUCCUGAAAACAAUUUUCCUUUUCUGCUUAAGUGAGUGGUAAUUUUAUUUCUAUCAUUUGCAAUUUUAAGAGGAUUAAAAAUAUAACAGAGCUCCCCUUAAGUUGAAUUAUAAUAUUUUAGUCUAAUGUGAUUAGUUGUAUCUAACUCCUGUCCCUUCCUUUUGCUCUUUCCCUAAACACACAUUACCUGCUGGGAAGAUGUGAUGGAGCCUGCUGACCAACUGGUGAACUGCUCUGGAUUCCCUAACUGCCAGCCAUCAGAAGCUGCCUUUAAAUCAUGAGAGGCUGCUCAAUGCACCAGUCAAAAAAACAUCAGUUAAAAAGCUUACAGGGCAUCCCUGGUGGCGCAGUGGUUGAGAAUCUGCCUGCUAAUUCAGGGGACACGGAUUCGAGCCCUGGUCUGGGAGGAUCCCACAUGCCACGGAGCAACUAGGCCCGUGAGCCACAACUACUGAGCCUGCGCUCCGCAACAAGAGAGGCCGCGAUAGUGAGAGGCACGUGCACCGCGAUGAAGAGUGGCCCCCGCUUGCCACAAG